rnacentral:rRNA from 1 species
CGGGUGAGUAACGCGUGAGAAUCUGGCUCCAGGUCGGGGAUAACAGUUGGAAACGACUGCUAAUACCGGAUGUGCCGAGAGGUGAAAGAUUUAUUGCCUGGAGAUGAGCUCGCGUCUGAUUAGCUAGUUGGUGGUGUAAGGGACCACCAAGGCGUCGAUCAGUAGCUGGUCUGAGAGGAUGAUCAGCCACACUGGGACUGAGACACGGCCCAGACUCCUACGGGAGGCAGCAGUGGGGAAUUUUCCGCAAUGGGCGAAAGCCUGACGGAGCAAUACCGCGUGAGGGAGGAAGGCUCUUGGGUCGUAAACCUCUUUUCUCAAGGAAGAAGAAAGUGACGGUACUUGAGGAAUAAGCAUCGGCUAACUCCGUGCCAGCAGCCGCGGUAAUACGGAGGAUGCAAGCGUUAUCCGGAAUGAUUGGGCGUAAAGGGUCUGCAGGUGGAACUGAAAGUCUGCUGUUAAAGAGUUUGGCUUAACCAAAUAAAAGCGGUGGAAACUACAGAACUAGAGUGCGGUAGGGGCAAAAGGAAUUCCUGGUGUAGCGGUGAAAUGCGUAGAUAUCAGGAAGAACACCGGUGGCGAAAGCGUUUUGCUAGACCGUAACUGACACUGAGGGACGAAAGCUAGGGGAGCGAAUGGGAUUAGAUACCCCAGUAGUCCUAGCCGUAAACGAUGGAUACUAGGCGUGGCUUGUAUCGACCCGAGCCGUGCCGGAGCUAACGCGUUAAGUAUCCCGCCUGGGGAGUACGCACGCAAGUGUGAAACUCAAAGGAAUUGACGGGGGCCCGCACAAGCGGUGGAGUAUGGUGGUUUAAUUCGAUGCAACGCGAAGAACCUUACCAAGACUUGACAUCCUGCGAAUCCUGGUGAAAGCUAGGAGUGCCUUAGGGAGCGCAGAGACAGGUGGUGCAUGGCUGUCGUCAGCUCGUGUCGUGAGAUGUUGGGUUAAGUCCCGCAACGAGCGCAACCCUCGUUUUUAGUUGCCAGCAUUAAGUUGGGCACUCUAGAGAGACUGCCGGUGACAAACCGGAGGAAGGUGAGGAUGACGUCAAGUCAGCAUGCCCCUUACGUCUUGGGCUACACACGUACUACAAUGCUACGGACAGAGGGCAGCGAGCCAGGGAUGGCAAGCGAAUCCAGAAACCGUAGCUCAGUUCAGAUCGAAGGCUGCAACUCGCCUUCGUGAAGGAGGAAUCGCUAGUAAUUGCAGGUCAGCAUACUGCAGUGAAUUCGUUCCCGGGCCUUGUACACACCGCCCGUCACACCAUGGAAGUUGGUCACGCCCGAAGUCAUUACCCCAACCGAAAGGAGGGGGAUGCCUAAGGUAGGACUGGUGACUGGGGUGAAGUCGUAACAAGGUAGCCGU